rnacentral:rRNA from 1 species
AGCGAACGCUGGCGGCAGGCCUAACACAUGCAAGUCGAACGAACUCUUCGGAGUUAGUGGCGGACGGGUGAGUAACACGUGGGAACGUGCCUUUAGGUUCGGAAUAACUCAGGGAAACUUGUGCUAAUACCGAAUGUGCCCUUCGGGGGAAAGAUUUAUCGCCUUUAGAGCGGCCCGCGUCUGAUUAGCUGGUUGGUGAGGUAAUGGCUCACCAAGGCGACGAUCAGUAGCUGGUCUGAGAGGAUGAUCAGCCACAUUGGGACUGAGACACGGCCCAAACUCCUACGGGAGGCAGCAGUGGGGAAUCUUGCGCAAUGGGCGAAAGCCUGACGCAGCCAUGCCGCGUGAAUGAUGAAGGUCUUAGGAUUGUAAAAUUCUUUCACCGGGGACGAUAAUGACGGUACCCGGAGAAGAAGCCCCGGCUAACUUCGUG